CAGUCCCUUCCAAGAUGUUGCACUGCAGCUCUGUGAGUUCUUGUGACUUUGCAUGUGAUUCCUGAUCUUCUAUCCUUGAGUGUCCCCAGAAUAGUCUGGUGGGAUAUAGCUGAUCAUGUAUCAGGAACCUGUUGACACUUGAGACCAGUCCUGUCCUGGCACUAAGGAAAGGGAUCAGUUCAGACACAAACUCUGCCAGCCUUUGAGCAAAGCUGCAUUUUUCACUGUUUGAGUGCAAGUCUUGGCUUUUUUGUGUCUUUGGAGCUUUGUGAGCUGCUGAUUCAGAUGUGUCCCAAGUGCUCUAGUGGAUCUGCAGGCUUGUCUCUGGGAAGAUUGAGCGUGUCAUUAAUGCUGACUGUUCUCUAGCAGAUAUCAUGGGCAAGAUGAGAAUCUGUCCCUUCUCUUCCCUGUGAACUUCAUGUGUUCUGAGCCAUCAGUGUUUGUCCAACCCUUUUUGAACUGCUGAAACUUCACCAAAAUAAAAAACUGUUAAAAUUAAACUGUUAAAA